rnacentral:lncRNA from 1 species
CAAAACCAUAAGAUCUCCAUACCCCGUCCGGCAUGUGAGACCACAAUCCCGGUAGGGUUCCCUACGGACCCGGUCCGUCCACCAUCUCCCAGGAUAUCUAGUCAGGCUGACCCCCAUAAUACAAUUAUCAGUGUACACAAUCUUUCAUUUUCCUUUUCCUCAGUCGGCAUCAUCAAUUUAUAUACAAACAAGCAAAACAGUAAUUCAUGCCAAACAGACAACAUACAGUAUCAGUUUUUCAGUCAUUCAACCCAUGAUUAAUAAAAACGUAGUAUAUGCACACAAAUCUGUAAAAUGAACACAUCAAACCUCAUUUUGCAUUUAAAGCUGUAAACAGGCCAAAUAACAGUAAAUCACCAAUCACACUAGACUCGGGCCCCAUUAGCCACCUUAAGCAAUUUCACACAUUCGUUAAUUCAAGAAAUACCGUUUUAUCAUUUUGAACUUUAAUACCGUGAUAGGAAAUAGGGUGAGGGGUCCUUACUUAUUUUUGGGAUCCGAAUACGAUUCACAGUGCGCCUGCACGCCGUCCCUAAUUUUCCCUGAAUUUUUCCCGGGGAACUGAAACACACUAACAGUACCUGCACUUGUUCCAAAAAAAACCCAAAUUAGGCCUAGGGCCUCUUUCGGCCCAAAUCGCAACUCCGGCACGGCGGCUCCGCCGUGCUCCGGCGACGGCGCCGCCGCUGGCGGCGGCGAGUCGCCUCGGGUUGGCUGUUUUCGGCCGAAUUCGGCCACACUCACAUCGGUCCUUGUGAGAAAACAACCCUAGGGCCCUCGGGGGGCCAAAAAAUCACAGAAAAACGGAGCUUACCGGCGGCGGCGCUCUCGGGUGCGGCGGCUCUCCGGCGAGGUUCGUG